rnacentral:lncRNA from 1 species
UUUGUUUCUUGGUGGAGCCCUGGGAGUGCUAGCCAGCGCCACCACUCAUAAACUUUGGCGGUGGAUGUGGAUCGUCCUUUCUGCCGCGCCACG